AUUGAACGCUGGCGGCAUGCCUUACACAUGCAAGUCGAACGGUAACGGGCCUUCGGGUGCCGACGAGUGGCGAACGGGUGAGUAAUACAUCGGAACGUGCACGAUCGUGGGGGAUAACGAGGCGAAAGCUUUGCUAAUACCGCAUACGAUCUACGGAUGAAAGCAGGGGACCGCAAGGCCUUGCGCGGACGGUGCGGCCGAUGGCAGAUUAGGUAGUUGGUGGGAUAAAAGCUUACCAAGCCGACGAUCUGUAGCUGGUCUGAGAGGAUGAUCAGCCACACUGGGACUGAGACACGGCCCAGACUCCUACGGGAGGCAGCAGUGGGGAAUUUUGGACAAUGGGCGCAAGCCUGAUCCAGCCAUGCCGCGUGCAGGAUGAAGGCCUUCGGGUUGUAAACUGCUUUUGUACGGAACGAAAAGCCUUCUUUUAAUACAGGAGGGUCAUGACGGUACCGUAAGAAUAAGCACCGGCUAACUACGUG
rnacentral:rRNA from 1 species